UAGGGAAUCUUCCGCAAUGGGCGAAAGCCUAACGGAGCAACGCCGCGUGAGUGAUGAAGGUCUUCGGAUCGUAAAACUCUGUUAUUAGGGAAGAACAAAUGUGUAAGUAACUAUGCACGUCUUGACGGUACCUAAUCAGAAAGCCACGGCUAACUACGUGCCAGCAGCCGCGGUAAUACGUAGGUGGCAAGCGUUAUCCGGAAUUAUUGGGCGUAAAGCGCGCGUAGGCGGUUUUUUAAGUCUGAUGUGAAAGCCCACGGCUCAACCGUGGAGGGUCAUUGGAAACUGGAAAACUUGAGUGCAGAAGAGGAAAGUGGAAUUCCAUGUGUAGCGGUGAAAUGCGCAGAGAUAUGGAGGAACACCAGUGGCGAAGGCGACUUUCUGGUCUGUAACUGACGCUGAUGUGCGAAAGCGUGGGGAUCAAACAGG
rnacentral:rRNA from 1 species